rnacentral:snoRNA from 1 species
AACCUUGAAAAUCCGUACACUCUAAACACUGGUCUGAGUGGUUACAAAAGGAGGAAAAGUAAAAUGGAAACUGACUUCGGUGCUUUUGUAGCUAGUUUCAAACAAAA